UCUUUGAACUCUCCAACACACCCAAACAUAAACCUUAACCAUUAACCCCUCUCUCUUACUCUCCGACCACCGUAUCCACCGUCGUACCCUCUGUCCGUCGCGGUAUUCGGAGGAGAUUCAGCUAAGAGGGUGGUUAUUACGGACACUAGUGUCCGGAGCAGUGAUCGUGUGGUGAAUCUGGUGCUAUAUACUGGCCAAGGACUUAGAUAUAGGAAGUUGUUUUAACCACGAGCAUAGAGAAGCUUGGUAAAGCCGGUGAAACAGUGAAGGUUGCUCCUGGACAUUUCCGCAACCACCUUAUGCCCAAGUUUCUAGCGGUUCCAAGUAUUGAGAAGUAUGCUUAUCUUGUCCGGGAACAGCGCAAGAUCUACCAACAUGAGGAGGAAGAAGAGGAGGUUAAAGUAGUUAAAGAGUCUAAGGAAGAUUCUUGCUUUAGAUAUACCAACAUGAGGAGGAAGAAGAGGAGAUUAAAGUAGUUAAAGAGUCUAAGGAAGAUAAGCUGAAAGAAUUCGAGAAGGCAGCAAGAUGUCUUGAUAAUUCUAAGCUGGUAGAAAGGCAGCUUAGUGUGCGCAUCACACCUGAUAAUGUGCAUCUACUUUCUCCUUUGACGACUUUUGGUGAGUAUGAGGUGCCACUACGCUUCCCAAAAUCUAUCCAUUUGCCGGAGGGGAAGGUUCAGUGGACUCUUGCAGUUAAAUCCGGGGUAAAUAAAGAUGUUCUUGUUAGCUUAAUGAGCACUCAAGGUCCCAGCUUAUUGUGGGAUGUCAGUUUUGUCUUUUGCAAUUUGAUAACUAGUUAUUGUAGUGAUAAAGUUUCGUAUUUUAAGUAAAAGAUGUUCUAAAAGUUGCCCGUUCGAUUUUGUAUUUUUUACUUAUAAA